UCAUCACUGCACUGAACCUUAAGGAGGAUCCAGCAUCUUUGAAUUCAGAUCGGAAAUAACCUCCUGGAUCUAUUUUGGUUAUGGAUUCAUAUGACGGAUUUAAGGGGUUAACAACUAAGUUGCGUUUCAGCGCUGACAUGUGUGGAAAAAGUUAUAAUUUCUGCCUUCAUCGGUUCGCAACAGCUGAUGGAUUAAAACAAAGUAAAACUAUGGAUCGUUUUGACUGGAAUAGAGGAAUUAUUCUCCUCAGGAUGAGUUGGAUCUCUUCCUGUCUUGAUCCUGGUGUUGAACAAGUCGGAUCACGGACACUCGAUUGUCUUGGGAGACACGGAUGGUCCAGAGUGGUCAAUAAGAAGAUGUUUAAGUCUAUCUUACUUUUUUGGAUACCUGUAACUUAUCCACUUGUGGAUUUGGACGUGUCACAAGGAAAUAUACAUUUAUAAAUACCCUGGAAUAUAACUGAAAGCUGUGCUUAGUGGAUAUCCGGUGAUUAUUAUGGUCAGUCAGAUUCUCCUGAACAAGCAGGUCCUCUGCCUCUCACUGAGCUUGAAGAGCAAGGAUGAAGGCCUGUCGGAGCUGUCUGGCUUGCAUACAUCACUCUCCGCUGUGCUUUUAUCUAGCCAGACUGGCCCGCGCUCCAUCCAGACCCGGCUCCCGGCAAGUGCACUGUCCUGAGACCUGUGGCAUUAAUAAAGAUAAUGCUGUUUGGAAUAAUAACCACCAAUUCGGCUCAAUAGAGGAAAUAGAGAGAACAUACAAGUGUCAUGGAAUACAAAAGAAACCAAGAUGAAAGGCUGAAAGAUGAUCCCAGGUGAGAGAAGAGGCUGAGUAAUGGAAACAUUAUACCAACAGUCCCCAACAUUAUCCCAAGCAUCGCACCUAAUCAUGACUUGGACGGUGGACCUGCAUCCUCCUGCAGCAGAUGUUCGCUCCUGGCACAACAGAUGACAGAGUGAGCUACUUCCUUGACAAUCUAGCUGUCAGGAUGGAGCCAGGAGUAAGAACUUGGAAAAAAGCUGUGACAUAAACUCGGAGGCAGAGUGGAGAGGAUUCAGCAGCUCAGACACUGUGGAACACAUCUGUCAACACAUCUGGAUACACGCUCAGUAGACAAAUCAAUGUAAUAUAUGUACUAAUGCCACAGUUACAUCAACCAUCUACACAUUGUUUGACUUUCUCAUUUUUUCCUGAAUUGAACUUGGAUAAAUAUUGUUUCUGCAUGUGCAUCUGCUCUUGAUUUUCUGUGUUUCUUCAUGCUGUGACAUUUGUUCUUGACAUGGUAUCACAAACUGCUGGAAAACUUAAAGGAUACAAAUCAGAGAGAUUUUUCAUUGUGUGCUCUAAUUCUUCUACAUGUAAAGUAAAGAACAUUGCUUGCAAAAGUAUUUGUACCUACUGAACUUUUACAGCCACAAACUGCAAUAUAUUGUAAUGGGAUUUUAUAUCAGACAAAAACAAAGGAGAGCAUAAUAGAAAUAAGGAAGGAAUGGAAGACAUGGUUUUUAAACAUUUUACAGAUAAAUAUCUGAAAUGUGUGGCCUGCAUCUGUUUUGCUGCAAUUACAGCUUCGAGUUUUUUGCAUAUGUCUCUACCAACUUUCCUCCAAGAUAGACUGUGUUAUGAUUGUGGGUGUUUUUGGGUUUUGUUGGUCUGUUUCACAGUUAAUGUUUUGAAUCAUGUUUCUGUUUAUUAUUUUCCUAGUCAUGCUUUAGUUUUUGUCUUCUA